ensembl:snoRNA
GCAUGGCAAUGGAUUUAUGGUGGGGUCUGCCACAUGACCCUUCCAUAGUGUACCCCAUGCUAUAUUAUACGUGCUACUCCGAACCAUUGUCUGGCCUUCCUCUGUAGGCUUUGUUCACUGAAGUGAGUAGGACAUCC